rnacentral:rRNA from 1 species
UCUGGUUGAUCCUGCCAGUAUUAUAUGCUGAUGUUAAAGAUUAAGCCAUGCAUGUGUAAGUAUAAAGACCAAGUAGGAUGAAACUGCGGACGGCUCAUUAUAACAGUAAUAGUUUCUUUGGUUAGUAAAGUACAAGGAUAGCUUUGUGAAUGAUAAAGAUAAUACUUGAGACGAUCCAAUUUGUAUUAGUACAAAGUGGCCAAUUUAUGUAAGUAAAUUGAGAAAUGACAUUCUAAGUGAGUUAGGAUGCCACGACAAUUGUAGAACACACAGUGUUUAACAAGUAACCAAUGAGAAUUUCUGAUCUAUCAAUCAGUUGGUAGUAUCGAGGACUACCAAGAUUAUAACGGAUAACGAGGAAUUGGGGUUCGACAUCGGAGAGGGAGCUUUACAGAUGGCUACCACUUCUAAGGAAGGCAGCAGGCGCGUAAAUUACCCACUUUCGAAUUGAAGAGGUAGUGACGACACAUAACUCUAGAGUUGAGUAAAAUCAAUUCUUGAAGGAAUGAGUAGGAGGUAAAUUCUCCUACGAAAUCAAUUGGAGGGCAAGUCUGGUGCCAGCAGCCGCGGUAAUUCCAGCUCCAAUAGUGUAUAUUAAAGUUGCUGUGAUUAAAACGCUCGUAGUUGAAUUAAAAUGUGAUUUUAUACAUUUUGAAGACUUUACAUUAAGUGAAGUUUCUAGAAAUGUUAAAUUAAAAUCAAAGAAGGAGACAAUUCAAGUAAUUGAGUUGUCAUUACUUUGAAUAAAAUAAGGUGUUUAAAGCAAAACAUUAUGUUAAUGAAUAUUCAAGCAUGGGACAAUGCUGAGGAGAUGUCAAUUAGACAUUUCGAGAGAAGGAUUAAAAGGAACAAUUGGGGUGAUUCAGAAAAUAACGGGAGAGGUGAAAAUCCAUGAUCGCUAUAAGAUGCACGAGAGCGAAAGCAUUUCACUCAACUGGGUCCAUUAAUCAAGAACGAAAGUUAGGGGAUCGAAGACGAUCAGAUACCGUCGUAGUCCUAACUAUAAACGAUGUCAACCUAAGGAUUGGAUGAAAUUCAGAUGUACAAAGAUGAAGAAACAUUGUUUCUAAAUCCAAGUAUAUCAAUACUACCUUGUUCAGAACUUAAAGAGAAAUCUUGAGUUUAUGGACUUCAGGGGGAGUAUGGUCACAAGGCUGAAACUUAAAGGAAUUGACGGAAGGGCACACCAGGAGUGGAGCCUGCGGCUUAAUUUGACUCAACACGGGAAAACUUACCAAGACCGAACAGUAGAAGGAAUGACAGAUUAAGAGUUCUUUCAUGAUUUAUUGGGUAGUGGUGCAAGGCCGUUCUUAGUUGGUGGAGUGAUUUGUCAGGUUAAUUCCGGUAACGAACGAG